rnacentral:rRNA from 1 species
CAGUCGCCGCGGUAAUACGGAGGGUGCAAGCGUUAAUCGGAAUUACUGGGCGUAAAGCGUGCGUAGGCGGUUCGUUAAGUCUGUUGUGAAAGCCCCGGGCUCAACCUGGGAAUGGCAAUGGAUACUGGCGAGCUAGAGUGUGUCAGAGGAUGGUGGAAUUCCGCGUGUAGCAGUGAAAUGCGUAGAUAUGCGGAGGAACACCGAUGGCGAAGGCAGCCCCCUGGGCCAACACUGACACUCAUGCACGAAAGCGUGGGGAGCAAACAGGAUUAGAUACCCCCGUAGUCCCUGUCUCUUAUAC